AAAGUGUGUGUGUGUGUGUGUGUGUUUGUGUGAUGAAGGGUCAUACAGGAUGGAGAUUGAUAUCAAUAAAUUGUAACAACAGCACCAAAGAUAGGAUGAUAAAUGAAGGUUUUAUUUUCUGGUAAGUGUGUAGGUUACAUGAAAUAUAUGUACAUAUGAAAAUACGCAUGUUUCAUUGCAAAAUAUUUGCAAAAUUAAGCUUGGUAUGCUUAGUUCAUUAAUUAUUUUAGAUUUUAGUUAUGAUUUUCAUUAUUAUUUUUUCUUUCUUUUCAAGUUACAUAUUCCGUCUUACUGCAACAUUGUGUCUUACAGCGGAAAGUAAAAGUAACUCGACCAAGAGAGAAAAGUUUCUUCCACUAGUAGCUCCAACAAGGAGCUCGCCCACCAACUAAUGCAAGCAUGUUCUUCAGGUACAGUUCAAUAUAGGAGACAUUUUAUGUAACAAAUAUUAACAUUUUUGAGGACAUUAAUUUCAGUUAUUAGAUUAAAUAUUUGGAUUAAGUUUGUGCGUGUGUUUUAUUUAUUGAAUCAAGGGUCGUGCAGGAAGGAUGGUGAAAUUUUAACAUUAGCUGCGAAGAUAUUUAAGUUUAAGUAAAUUUUACUUAGUUUAUAUUGAAUAUAGUAAAAAUUGCUCGUUUUUAUUUUCCAGAGGAGCCAUAUCCUUUGGCUCCACGCCGAGAAGCAACAGGUGCUGUGGUGGUAAUAAUUUCAUCAAACGUAGACUUCUUCAACGGUCCAUUAUGGAGUUUUAUAAUCAAGAACUGAGCAACACGAUCCCCAAGUUCAACUUGAUAUGGAAGUUUCCCAUGGUUGAUUAGCAUAACCCCCAAAGUUCCUUCAAAAUCUUCAUCGACCACGCCCCCCAUGACGUCAAUUUUAUGCCGCAACGCUAACCCAGACCUUGGUUUAAUCAAACCAACAUGGCCCAACGCAGAUUGAGGGUGCAACUUUGUUGGAAAUUUACUUUCAAAGGUCUUCCUAAUAAAGUGGACCGUUCUAUAGUCAUCUAGAAGG